rnacentral:rRNA from 1 species
UACAGAGGUCCCAAGCGUUGUUCGGAUUCAUUGGGCGUAAAGGGUGCGUAGGCGGCGUGGUAAGUCGGGUGUGAAAUCCCGGGGCUCAACCCCGGAACUGCAUUCGAUACUGCCUUGCUCGAGUACUGGAGAGGAGACUGGAAUUUACGGUGUAGCAGUGAAAUGCGUAGAUAUCGUAAGGAAGACCAGUGGCGAAGGCGAGUCUCUGGACAGUUACUGACACUGAGGCACGAAGGCCAGGGGAGCAAACGGG